UGCCAGACUCCUACGGGAGGCAGCAGUGGGGAAUAUUGCACAAUGGGGGGAACCCUGAUGCAGCGACGCCGCAUGGGUGAAGGAGCACCUCGGUGCGUAAAGCCCUAUCGGCAGGGAAGAAACAGACGGUACCUGACUAAGAAGCCCCGGCUAACUCCGUGCCAGCAGCCGCGGUAAUACGGAGGAUGCGAGCGUUAUCCGGAUUUAUUGGGUUUAAAGGGUGCGUAGGCGGGCUGUUAAGUCAGCGGUCAAAUGUCGGGGCUCAACCCCGGCCUGCCGUUGAAACUGGCGGCCUCGAGUGGGCGAGAAGUAUGCGGAAUGCGUGGUGUAGCGGUGAAAUGCAUAGAUAUCACGCAGAACUCCGAUUGCGAAGGCAGCAUACCGGCGCCCUACUGACGCUGAGGCACGAAAGCGUGGGUAUCGAACAGGAUUAGAUACCCCAGUA
rnacentral:rRNA from 1 species